UAUCCCACCUGGUAGUGUGUGCUGCCACGACAGAGCACUAAUGGUAUUAGUUGGGCCAAGGAAACCAGAAAGGAUGGCCUGACUUGUGAGUAGACUUAAAACUGUGACGUGGACGUUAGUAUUGGAAAUUCCACUGUAAAAUGGCUUUUGUGUGUAUAAGAUCUACAAAAUACAUAAGUGUGUAAGAUUUUCUCUUCCUAUCAAAAAUAGCUUAAAAUACUCUCAGAAAAGUAAACAUUUGGUGCGUUAAGUGUAUCAGUAAGCAAGUUUGUGAGUAGUGAAGCAGGCAUCAUCAUACCAAUAGAUUCAACACCUGUGAUACUUUUGUUAACAACAUGCAAAUGUGACUGUUAUAAUGCACCCUUUCAGGAGUGAAAUGCUUCUACUCAAGUAUCUCUUCUAGGCAUAAGUGCAUAUUAACCAGAAAACUAUAGCCAUUUAUGCAUUAAGGAGUAAUAUUUCUCUCCCAAAGCUUUGUGAGAAAUUAUUUGAAGUAUGUGCAUGAAUAUCUUACCAUGCAGGGAGAAAUAAAAGAGAACUGGAAUUGCAUAAUCAGUGUGACUUCAGUCCUUAUUUCAGAAAAAGAGCUCUUUAGGAGAGCUUUCUACAGAUAAAUAUUACUAGUUUCAUGUGGUUAAGUUGUUAGAGUGAGAGGAAGGGAAAUUAAACUAGGAAACACAUAAAAGACUGGCCUGCUGGACAUCGUUAGGCUAACAGAGUCGGAUGUUUGAAACAACAAAAUUGUUUAUGUGAAAUAAGGUCCAGAAUGAUGUGAAUAACAGCUUAUUGUGCAGCUUUCCAAUGGUGAAACACUGGGAAGCUGGGUAUUAUUUCUAUACCAGAAGUACCCCAGCAGAACUAUGUCAAAGAGUAGCAGCCUUGCUGCUUCAGUGUGUUUAGGGAGCUUUUUUUGCAGUCUGAACUCAAGAAGAGAUAUCCUUGGAGCACUGGGAAAGGAAGGCUUCUACAGCUGUAAAGAUGAAAGAAUUCCUGCUGUUUUGUCGUGGCUGCUUUUUUGUUUGAUUGCUGUUGCAAACUAAUCCUCCCAGACUUGGAGUUGUGUGUCCCAUGAGCUCUUCUCCACUUCUAGAAGAUUUCCUGCUAGGUGUCAUGGACUGAGAUGAAUCUGCUGCUGCUGUUCAUACAGUGCUGCAGCCAUGCCAGCUUGAAAAAAUGGAAGUACUAACUGAGGCAAAGUAUUAUGGGGCUUGAAGUUCAGGUUGCAACAUGGGAGGCUUCCUGUUCCAGCUGCUGCUUCUGGGUUCCAGGUUCUUGGGUGUCGGCUCUUCUGUGCAGGCAUCGUGGUGGAACAGGAAUAGAUCCUGCUUACAGCAAACCUGUCUUUGCUCUGCUCUUCUCCUUGGGAAGCAGCCGUCUUCAGGGUUCAAGUUCACUUCUAUCCUGGCUCCUGAGCAGUCCCACAUCUCCUCUUGACUUCCCUGCAUCAUGACAAGAAAUGCAAUUAACAGCUGUGGGAUAACUUUUGAAUGUUGAGCUGAACUAAUUAAUGGAAAAUGCACAAUAAAUCUCUUCACAAGAGGCUUUUUCUGCAAAUGCUGAUGUUAAUUGCAAAAGUUGCUGCAUCUUGUUUGCACAUGCUGACUUACCAAUACAACUUAAAAGAUAGUGGUGAAAUGAUUGAUUGGCUGUUCAGAAAAGUGUCUUAAUAAAUUUACAUCUUCAUCUAA